GGGACGAACGCUGGCGGCGUGCUUAACACAUGCAAGUCGAACGGAAAGGCCCUUCGGGGUACUCGAGUGGCGAACGGGUGAGUAACACGUGGGUGAUCUGCCCUGCACUUCGGGAUAAGCCUGGGAAACUGGGUCUAAUACCGGAUAUGACUACGAAUCGCAUGGUUUGUGGUGGAAAGCUUUUGCGGUGUGGGAUGGGCCCGCGGCCUAUCAGCUUGUUGGUGGGGUUAAGGCCUACCAAGGCGACGACGGGUAGCCGGCCUGAGAGGUUGGCCGGCCACACUGGAACUGAGACACGGUCCAGACUCCUACGGGAGGCAGCAGUGGGGAAUCUUGCACAAUGGACGAAAGUCUGAUGCAGCAACGCCGCGUGGGGGAUGAAGCUUCUCGGAGUGUAAACCCCUUUCGACCCGGAAGAAUGCCCGCAAGGGUAUGACGGUACGGGUAUAAGAAGCCCGGCUAACUACGUGCCAGCAGCCGC
rnacentral:rRNA from 1 species